rnacentral:rRNA from 1 species
UACGUAGGGGCGAGCGUUGUCCGGAAUGAUUGGGCGUAAAGGGCGCGUAGGCGGCUGUGCAAGUCAGUAGUGGAAGCCCAGCUUUUAAGGUUGGAAGUGCUAUUGAAACUGUGCAGCUUGAGUGCAGGAGAGGUUAUCGGAAUUCCCGGUGUAGCGGUGAAAUGCGUAGAGAUCGGGAGGAACACCAGUGGCGAAGGCGGGUGACUGGACUGCAACUGACGCUGAGGCGCGAAAGUGUGGGGAGCAAACAGGAUUAGAUACCCU